GCUGGAUGAUGGGUGUGUGUGUGCUGGAUGAUGGGUGUGUGAGUGCUGGAUGAUGGGUGUGUGAGUGAGUGAGUGCUGGAUGAUGGGUGUGUGAGUGCUGGAUGAUGUGUGUGUGAGUGCUGGAUGAUGUGUGGAGGGGGGGGGGAAGCAUUUUUUUCUUACUUUAUGUAUAUUUUUUUUAUUUUAUUCCCCCCUCCCUGCUUCUUACCUUGUCAGGGAGGGGGGAGAUCGCCUGGUGGUCCGGUGGAGGGAGCCAGCCGC